GGGCCCGUAGCUUAACCAGGUCAGAGCGGCGGGGCCGACCCGUUGGUUGGGGGUUCAAACGUGGCACGGAACAGAUCCCUCCGGGCCCA
rnacentral:tRNA from 1 species